rnacentral:rRNA from 1 species
GACGUAGGGUGCGAGCGUUGUCCGGAUUUAUUGGGCGUAAAGGGCGCGUAGGCGGCUACGCACGUCCGUUGUGAAAUCGCUCGGCUCAACUGGGCGGGGUCAGCGGAUACGGUGUAGCUGGAGCAAGCUAGGGGGCAAUGGAAUUCCCGGUGUAGUGGUGGAAUGCGUAGAUAUCGGGAGGAACACCAGUGGCGAAGGCGGUUGCCUGGAGCUUUGCUGACGCUGAUGCGCGAAAGCGUGGGGAGCGAACAGG